AUUGAACGCUGGCGGCAGGCCUAACACAUGCAAGUCGAGCGGAUGAGUGGAGCUUGCUCCAUGAUUCAGCGGCGGACGGGUGAGUAAUGCCUAGGAAUCUGCCUGGUAGUGGGGGGACAACGUUUCGAAAGGAACGCUAAUACCGCAUACGUCCUACGGGAGAAAGCAGGGGACCUUCGGGCCUUGCGCUAUCAGAUGAGCCUAGGUCGGAUUAGCUAGUAGGUGAGGUAAUGGCUCACCUAGGCGACGAUCCGUAACUGGUCUGAGAGGAUGAUCAGUCACACUGGAACUGAGACACGGUCCAGACUCCUACGGGAGGCAGCAGUGGGGAAUAUUGGACAAUGGGCGAAAGCCUGAUCCAGCCAUGCCGCGUGUGUGAAGAAGGUCUUCGGAUUGUAAAGCACUUUAAGUUGGGAGGAAGGGCAGUAAGUUAAUAACCUUGCUGUUUUGACGUUACCAACAGAAU
rnacentral:rRNA from 1 species